GCCACGGUGGCUCAGGGGAAGAGCAUCCGCCUGGCAUGCGGAAGGCCCCAGGUUCAAUCCCUGAGAGCGGCA